rnacentral:rRNA from 1 species
GCGGUGGAGCACCUGGCUUAAUUCGAUAAUGAGCGAGGAACCUUACCUGGGCUUGACAUCCUGGGAAUUCUCUGGAAACAGAGAAGUACCUUAUGGAACCCAGAGACAGGUGCUGCAUGGUUGUCGUCAGUUCGUGCCUUGAGGUGUUCGGUUAAGUCCGUAAACGAGCGCAACCCAUGUCCUGUGUUGUUUUUUCACAGGAGACUGCCGAUUAAAAGUCGGAGGAAGGUAUGGAUGACGUCAAAUCAGCAUGGCCCUUAUGCCCAGGGCUGCACAGGUGCUACAAUGGCUGAUACAAUGGGUAGCAAUGUCGCAAGACGGAGCCAAUCCCUAAAGUCAGUCUAAGUUCGGAUUGAGGGCUGCAACCCGUCCUCAUGAAGUUGGAAUCGCUAGUAACCGCGUAUCAUCAACGUCGCGGUGAAUGUGUUCCUGGGUCUUGUACUCACCGCCCGUCACACUAUGAAAGGUGGGGGCACCCGAAAUACCCUUAGCUUCAAGCGGGGUCCUAAGGUGAAACCACUGAUUGGAGUGAAGUCGUAACAAGGUAUCCGUAGGAGAACCUGCGGAUGGAUCAUCUCCUUUUCUUUGGAGU